GGUGCAUUCACGCCGCCUCACCGGCCGCUCCCGGCCGCUCCCGGCUGAUCCCGCGUGAUGGAUGCCUGGUGGUGCUGAAUGCAAAUUAGCAUAAUUUCAUUACCGAGGGACCCGUGAAAAGGUUCAAUUAUAGAGCAAUCUCAUUAAUACCAGGGCUUGUUAAACUAAUAGAAAGAGACAGGCCCCGCAGCUCCGAGAAGAGACACGUGCUCCGAAUGCAACUCCAUGAAGCCCCAGUACCUGGCCACGCCCGCACCCCUGCUGCCCUGCAAUCUUGGAACUGAGAUCCCGGCCUCCAAGACCCAGAGCCUCCAGAGGACCCAGGUACAAAAGGCACAGAAUCCGGGAUGAAUGGGUCUCUGCCAAUCGGCUAGAUCAAGGCCACAGCGGCAGAGCCCUGGGCCGGCAGUGUGGAAGUGACCUGCCCAAGGUGUGUGGCACUGAGGCCACAGAGCCAUGGGGAUGUGCAGGUGGGAGAGGGGGGUGCCCACAUCUGUCUAGGGAUUGGCCUCAUAACAUGUAAGCAACCUCUGUCGAGCCUGCCAGCUGUGACUCAGUUCCUGUAUUAUUAUGAGCCUUGUUAGCCCCGAACUCCUGAAGACUCAGCUCUGGAGGGACAGCAGGCUGGAGGCCAUAGUCCACGUGAGUAAAAGGAACUACACACACACACACACACACACACACACACACACACACGCACACGCACACGCACACGCACACGCACACGCACACGCACACGCACACGCACACGCACACAUCUUUCUGGCCACCAACAUGAUAAUCUGGCUGGAGAGCAGCUCAGCUCAACCAGGGAGGACUUUUCUGGGCCCUGGCUGACGCUCUGGGUUGGGUAAAAAAGCCUCUGCCUUUCACAUGAAUUUCUUAGAAGUUUAACCUCCUUAUGUGGCCUUAGCAAAAAUGGGUCAAGCCUGGCCCAACCUGAAAGCCCGAUCCCCACACCCGGGAGCCCUUGGCAAUGACCUCAGGCCUGCACUCUUCCCACCAGCCCGGGACAUGCAGAGGUAGGUUAUAUGACUUUGCUGUAUUUUUUUUUUGUCACCUCUGUAAUAUCUGAUUUUUUUUUCAAUUGUAAGUAAAACAGAACAAGUCCCCAAAUGCCCCAAGUGGGAGAAUGAGUCACACCAUUUGUGACUGCACACACAAAAAUAUGCAGUGACUCAGAGGGCCCUGCAGAAGAGACCAGCCCACAAAGGGCCUCAUUGUUCAGACUUUCAAGGUACAGGGGAGGGAGCUGAGCGUCUGCAGGCUGCCAGGCGGCCUGGAUGGCGGCUGUGACACUUGCGGGGGUGUGUUUUGGUUCUGCAUGUGCUGACCUUCCCCCUCUGUUUUGCUGUUUUGUUUUGAGACAGGGUUGCAUAUAACCCAGGCUGUUCUCCAACUGACUAAUGUAGCCAAAGAUGGUUCCGAUCAUCCGGCCUCUACUUCUUAAGUCGUGGGUCGACAGACUGGUGAAAAUUGUAGUGUCCGACAAGAAGAUGUGGAAAUGGGCUUUCUUGCUCUAACUGACAUGACCUGGGAAGUAUUUCCGAUUCAUGUGAUUUGAAUUGACACCAUCUUGCAGAAACGUAUCAUCUAGCGAAGAGAUGCCACGGGUGCUUGUCGUCUGCUUGUUCAUGGUGAUAAGUUACUGAAUUUGAUCAGGAGAUGCCCAUCAGAAGGCAAACAGAGCUGUGCAGUUGCUAAACAAACCCUGCCAAGGCUAAGGAUGCUGAGCAUGUGUGCUGCUGCGUCCUGACUGGCAGAUCACCACUGGAAGCAGGCUGUGCGGGGCUGUGGUUAAGUCGACUUCAGAGCACCCCGACCUCUCUGCAGCACUUCACAAGAUGGUGGGUCUGGGGGUUCUGAUGUGGGAGAGGGAUCCUCAUGGCAGUGCAAAAACAAGACUGGCGUGCUCGACACAGGCACACUGGUGCCCACCUCUGCUCGACACAGGCACACUGGUGCCCACCUCCGCUCGACACAGGCACACUGGUGCCCACCUCCCUUCCAUACUAGAAGACAGUUCGGGUAUUAUCUCCUCCGCACUGAAACUGUAGCUCUAGGUGGGCUGGAAUUUGUGCCUAGCACAAAGCCAGGUUCAUAUAAACCACCCAAUUAAAUCCAUUGAAUGAAUGAAUGAAUGAA